UACGAAGGGGGCGAGCGUUGUUCGGAAUUACUGGGCGUAAAGGGCUCGUAGGUGGCCAACUAAGUCAGACGUGAAAUCCCUCAGCUUAACUGGGGAACUGCGUCUGAUACUGGAUGGCUUGAGUUUGGGAGAGGGAUGCGGAAUUCCAGGUGUAGCGGUGAAAUGCGUAGAUAUCUGGAGGAACACCGGUGGCGAAGGCGGCAUCCUGGACCAACACUGACACUGAGGAGCGAAAGCCAGGGGAGCAAACGGG
rnacentral:rRNA from 1 species